ACACACACACACACCACUCAGAGGAGAGCUUCAGGCAGCCUGAGGGUACGUUCAGACUAAGCGUCUUUUUCUCAGCUGUCGGCGUCCGUUUUACAUUAUAACCCUAUGGAGUAGACUGUGUUUUCAAAAAAGCCGUCGGCUUCUUUUAAAACGCAACUGCAACAGUCUUUUUCUGCAGCUCAGAAGUUGAGAAAUGUUCAACGUCUAGCGUAAAAACGCCAUACGUCAUGCUGUCUUUUUUACAGAUGACCAAUCACAAGCAGAUAACCGAGACCUGUGGUUUCCCAUGACAACCAAGUAGAAAAUGGAGAAGGUGACAGAACACCGGUCGAGAGGCUCGUUUUAGUGUCUGAGCAUAGGGAAUUGUUUGACAUGACUUCACAACUUUACCAUAACAUACCAAAAGCAAUAGCCAACUCCAAUUUUUUCUUCUGCGAUAUUUUUUAUCCACACAUAACGUUAAUUACUUUGCCUAUCGCAAAAAAAAAAACGCUUCCGGCUGCUUUUUGGAACAAGAACGCUGGCAGAUGUUU